CUGCAGCAUUGCACAACAAGUGCUUCUGCAACUUCUGCUUGCUUAAAGGGAAGAAGUCCAAGUGAUGCUGUAUGCUCAGAUACUGGGAAAUGACUUAUCUGGCAGCUGUAUAGUUUGAUUGUGUAUACUACUGCAAAAGGUAAUUAAGCAUCUGAGAGGGGGAAAAUAAAAAGAAGCAGAAUAAAAUGAGUGCUAUAGAUACUAGAAAGCUCUUUUAAAGAAUCAAUUAUUCUCUGAAACAUGAGAAGCUCCAUUACAAUGGAAGCAGUUGCUGGGAGCCACCCCACUAUGUAUCCAUUUCUCAAAAUAGUACAAGCGCUUCCAGAGAGAAAGCCAAGUCAUUCAUUAUAGAAUGCCCACAGGACAUAUAUUUUUUCCAAGUGAACUUUGCAUUCCUCUUUUGCAGAGGAAAGCAAAUCUGAAAUAAAGAGAAAUGCUUAGCAGGGAAACUACAGUGGCCUUAGAAGUUGCUAUGAAGCAUAGUAUUUAUGGGAAAUGUAGUGAUUUUUGUGUCUGUUCUGAUUAUUCAUAUCAUUUAAAUAUUUAUAAAUUUAAAAAUUCUUGCCUUUGUACCAAAG
rnacentral:lncRNA from 1 species